UGAGGAAUAUUGGUCAAUGGGCGAGAGCCUGAACCAGCCAAGUAGCGUGCAGGAUGACGGCCCUAUGGGUUGUAAACUGCUUUUAUAUGGGAAUAAAGUGAGGGACGUGUCCCUUAUUGCAUGUACCAUACGAAUAAGGACCGGCUAAUUCCGUGCCAGCAGCCGCGGUAAUACGGAAGGUCCAGGCGUUAUCCGGAUUUAUUGGGUUUAAAGGGAGCGCAGGUGGCUAAUCAGGUCAGUGGUGAAAAGCUAUGGCUCAACCAUGGUCUUGCCAUUGAAACCGUAUAGCUAGAUAGGAGACGAGGUAGGCGGAAUGUGUGGUGUAGCGGUGAAAUGCAUAGAUAUCACACAGAACUCCGAUUGCGAAGGCAGCUUACCAGGCUUUAUCUGACACUUAGGCACGACAGCGUGGGGAUCAAACAGG
rnacentral:rRNA from 1 species